rnacentral:lncRNA from 1 species
AUCAUCUCGUGAAGAAGAAUUUUCAGUCUGGUUGAUCGACUUUUACAAAUUCCCAGUUCUGGCCCAGUACGAAAGUCCCAACAAGAAGUCCAACAAGGCAUUGUGACUUCCUUUUCCUACAAGGAAAUACAAUAGGUAGUCAAUUGGGAAAAAUAAAAUAAGCAUAAUGACGAUGGUGACAAGAGUAUAAAUAAAGGAGGUGAUCAAAUCUAAUGGGG